rnacentral:sRNA from 1 species
GUUUCCUGAUCACCCUGAGAACACCUGCGGAGAUAGACCUGAUUUUUAAAAUCAGUCCUUUCAAUAUAAUCUGGAUAGGUUUGGAUGACAGGAAAGUGGAAGGAACAUGGGUAUGGCACGACGAUUUGAGGCCUGUCAAAAAUGUGGAAAGCAUUAUUAGUUUCGACAAGGAAUCGAUAAAACUAGCUGAUCUCGCCGACUGCAGUUUUAUGUGGCGUUUAUAUGGGCCGAUAAUUAUUAUUACAUUCUGCAGUUCUGAAAUACAGUUUGUUUGUGAAAUUAAAUAAUGGCCCUUACUUGCAAGAACCAGAGAAACAACAGUUAAAUAGUUGGAUGCAUUGAGGAAGACCUAGUUAUCUCUAGGAAGCUCUUGAAAAAAAUAUUCAUUAUGAUUAUACUAUUUUGCAAUUUAUGAUGAUUAUGAAUAAUAAAAAUUAUACUAAAAUUGU